CUGAGCUUCAUUAGGAUACACACUAAAGUAAUUCUCAAGCAAUCUUUGUACAAAAACUUCCAAAAAUGCAAUCAAAUAACAAAACAUAGGAAAAUACAUGUGCCCCUCCCCUUUGAUUAAAUUUUGUAAUGGACAGUCAAAAUCACACAAAUUAGAGCAGGAACAUUAAGAGUAUUCCUUUGGAAGCAAUCAAACAGCUAUAGGAAGAAAUAUUGGCACAGAAGAAUGUUUCCCUUACCUGUCCUCCUUCCACUUCAGAAAUGGAGAAACUGGCCUCAGAAUUUUUAUAUGGAGAUGUUCCCUCAUCAAGCAACUGACACUGAUCCAAUUGUGUGCCCAAACCUUUCCCAGCAUCUGAAGCAAUGUUAAAGAGGACCAAUGUAUGUGGAACCUUCAGGAUACACGACACUCAACAGAUAUGAAGCAAAAUUCGUAUCUCUGAAAGAAGGGAGAAUUGAGCUAACAAAAAAGAUCUGAACUCCAUAAAAGACAACUCAAUUUGCCAAUUUGUGUGUGUGUGUUGUGUGUGUGUGUGUGUGUGUGUGUGUGUGAGUGAGAGAGAGAGAAAAACCUAAAGUCAAAAAUCAAUUUCCUAACAGCAAACCUCCUUUACACCAUUGUGAAAGCAAAAUAUUUCUGUGCUGGGACUUAGCUCAGUGGUGCCAUGCCUGUCUCAUAAGCACAAGGUACUGAGUUCAAUCCUCAGUACCGGGGAGGGGGGAGUAUUUCCCACUGAUUCCUAACCAUGGGCAUAUGGUUGUAUUCUAUACUUCUGCAUAAUAUCAUUUUGUGUCUGUGGAUUAUUUGAUAGAAAUUAUUCUUUCAUAAUAGAUAAUCUAAAAAAACAUAAAAUACAACAAGAGGUUGAAACAAUGGGAAAGAAUCUUAAACACUAAGAUAAGUGGAGUCACUCUUAUUAGAAAAACUUGGAACACUGGUAAGGCUGCAGAUUUUUUGAAACAAAAUAUUUUAAGUCUAGUAAAAUUCCCAAGUUUUACUCUUUCACAUAAUAGAAAAUUACACUCACUUCCCAAAGCAUACAUGUCGUAAGAAUAAUACAAGUGGUGUAACUAGCAAAGCCUUCUGCCAUCUACUUUAACUCUCUU
rnacentral:lncRNA from 1 species